rfam:Anaerobacillus sp. NB2006 Ga0137927_1004, whole genome shotgun sequence.
UUUGGAUUCGACAGGGAUAGUUUGAGCUUAAGUGGCGAGUCGAGGGGGUCGGCCUCGUUAAAACGCCAACGCCUAUAACUGGCAAACAAAAUUACGCUUUAGCUGCUUAAUAUUAAGUAGCUGCUCCUCCCUCCAUCGCCCAUGUGGUAGGGGUCGGGGCUCAACUUAGUGGGAUACGCCGGUUGUUCACCGUCUGAGGACGAAGGAAGAGAUUAACCAGACUAGCAUCAAGGACGCCUGUCACUAGGCAAAUUUGAUUGCGAAACGCUAAUGUAGUGACUACACUCGUAGAAGCUUAAGUGCCAAUGUUUCUGGACGUGGGUUCGAUUA